rnacentral:lncRNA from 1 species
GGUGUAAACCGGUACAAGUCAUGUAGACGAGAUGAUGAUAAAUCCAUCUCGCAAAAGUAAACGGUCAUUUAGACCAAACGGGUCAAAAGGUGAAAAUAUCACCCUUUGACAAUAUCGACUAAUGGUUUGUCGAGUUGUAUGAUUACAGGAAUAAAUAUCGAUUGAAUGUUGACAUCGCUAUUACUUAGCGGCUACUAAGGCAAGGUAUCGAAACGGGUCAAUAUAUUGAUCCGAGCCAGGUUUGUAUAAUGAUUCAACUCGUGAAGAUGGACCUAAUCCGGAUGAAGAUCAAGCGGCGAGCAAGAACCGAACACACGUUAAAUGAAGCUUCCGCGUCAAAUCUUGAUUUGUGUUGAU